rnacentral:rRNA from 1 species
AGCAGCCGCGGUAAUUCCAGCUCCAAUAGCGUAUAUUAAAGUUGUUGCAGUUAAAAAGCUCGUAGUUGAAUUUCGGGGUUAGUAGGCUGGUCGUGCCACUGGUACGUACUGGUCUCACUGAUUCCUCCUUCCUGAUGAACUGUAAUGCCAUUAAUUUGGUGUUGCAGGGAAACUGGACUGUUACUUUGAAAAAAUUAGAGUGUUUAAAGCAAGCUAACGCUUGAAUACAUUAGCAUGGAAUAAUGAAAUAGGACGUUCGAUCCUAUUUUGUUGGUUUCUAGGAUUGACGUAAUGAUUAAUAGGGAUAGUUGGGGGGCAUUAGUAUUCAAUUGUCAGAGGUGAAAUUCUUGGAUUUAUUGAAGACUAACUACUGCGAAAGCAUUUGCCAAGGAUGUCUUCAUUAAUCAAGAACGAAAGUUAGGGGAUCGAAGACGAUCAGAUACCGUCGUAGUCUUAACCAUAAACUAUGCCGACUAGGAAUCAGACGAUGUUAAUUUUUUAAUGACUCGUUUGGCACCUU